GUUUUAAUAGUUUAAAAAAAAACUUUGGUUUUGUAAACCAAAAAUGAAAUAAUUUUCUUAAAACU
rnacentral:tRNA from 1 species